UCUUAAAAGGAACGAAGAACGGCUUCCAUUUUAGAAAAAAAAAUAGCCAUCGGAGAAGUCCUUUUCUCCAGAUGAAGAAGUUAAAAUUUUCUCCUUUUCUUCAGCCAAAAGUGCUUUUGGCUGUUAAUUUCCAUUUUAUCCCCCCAAAAACCGUUCUUCCCUCUGGUUCUUUGCCUGAAAUAUCAAGUUCUUUGCGUUUGUUUCUUUUCCUCUGGUUCUUUGUUCCUCUUCCGCCGGCUGCGAAGAAGCAUUUGAAUCAACGUAUUCAGAACCUGGAUGGUAAAAUGGAAACACAGAAAGAAAUCUUGAAGAGCAUUCAAACAAGUGUAAGUGCACAUGUGUUUCCAUCUUUGACAUCAUAGCCAGAUUAUCUCCUCAAUUAGAAGCAUUUGAAACAACAGCGUGCAUAGUUGAAGUUGUUGUUAUGCUGGUCACAACUGCCUUGGUGACACUUGUAAUGCUUCUGUGGCAGACCAAUUUGCUUAUGGCUUUGUGUUUACAUAAUGCAUUACUUUAUAUCUAAUAUGCUGGACAUUGAUAUGAUAGAAUGUUUUUUCAAUUUUAAAACUGUAUGAGCAAAAUGAAAUGGACUAGGAUACUGCAAAGGAGUAAUCACUUUGAUAAUAAGUAUUAUUUAAUGAAAUCUUCUACAUAUUCCUUAAUGUUUUUGUCAUUGAGUUUAAGUUGGAUUAUAGAUUCAAUUGUAUUUAUUGUUCCUUGAUUGUGUUGUGUUGCAUGUAUGUACUAAAAUCCCCCAGCAUUGCAUCAAUAUCAGAUUGUUAUUCAUGUCACAUGAUGAAUGAGUAGUUUUCAAGUUUCUUAAUGAAGUCAAUCAAAGUGGAGAGCAGCAGUGUUCCUAUGAGUUGUAUUUCUUUGCACAGGUCAUACAGUAGCCACUAAAAAUGGGAAGUAAAGGUCGAAUUCCACCCCCUCAUCUAAGGCGUCCUCUCCCAGUUCUUUAUGGGAAGUAAAGACUUACUACAACGGGUGCUUGAGUGCCAUAUGCGGGUGUGGAUUGGUCAAAGCUUUCCAAAAGACUUACUACAACGACUAUGGAGGUGGUGCUAAUGAGCACCAAAGUGGGUUCAACAAGGGCACUGGUUUAGGUGCUGAGAUCAUUGGUACCUUUGUUCUUGUCUACACCGUUUUCUCCACCACUGAUCCCAAGAGGAAUGCUAGGGAUUCCCAUGUUCCUGUGUUGGCACCACUCCCUGUAGAAUUUGCAGUGUUCAUGGUUCACCUUGCCACAAUACCAGUCAAUGGGACUGGUAUCAACCCUGCUAGGAGCUUUGGAGCUGCUGUGAUAUACAACAAAGUGGAGGUUGAUCAAAACACUCAUCAUGCAAAGCUAGUAAAUAUCCCAGGAAGCUACACAAAGUCUGUCGAGUAAAUUUUUUUUUGGCUAUUUUGGUAUAGUGUUUUUUUUAUACAUAUAUGUAAUGCUAUUUUAGUAUAGUUGACUCGUAGGUGUCAUUCUUUGAAGAAUUUUUUCCGAUUUGUACACUUCUUUUAGGAACUGAUCUAGAAAACAAGAAGCUUGACCUUGAAAUCCGAUUUUAUAGUGGUACAAUUUGUAGAUGAAGAUAUAGAAAAUUGUCUUUCCCCUCUGUCUUGAUGAUUCAGUUUUUGCUGAUAUCUGGGAAUGAAUUUGCUUUUAUAUGUGUAUUGUUCAUCAUGUUCCAGAACACUUGAUAUUUCUUGGUACAGAUUAUGCAUUGACCUUUUGAUUGUUCUUGCAAAA